rnacentral:SRP_RNA from 1 species
ACCGGAAGUGCUAGUGUAUUCUAAUAAUUCGACUACUCGGAGGAUAGGUAAAGAGGAUAAUUUAGAGGCGGGGAUUCCGGGAGUUGAUUUCUCACGUUAACUAAACGUUCCCUACAAAAUUAAGCUUCCACAUGGAUGCCUUGGGGGAGCCUGAAGUUGCCAGGUUGAGUCUGAAAAGGGAAAAAAUCGGCCCGAAAGCCACCGAGUUGAGAGUCGUGAGUUCAAAUCCUGGGAGUGGGAGUUCAAUUGCAGCUCGUCUAAACAAGAGCAGACUUGUACCUCC